UUUCUGUGUGGCAGAGGUGACUGUGCUCUGAAGAUGAGAGCCGCUAUCCAGAAGUGAGUUCCAGAUAAAGUAAAAUUCCAGAUGGAAACCAGAGACAGCCUGUUUUGAUGAUGUAGCCUUUGCUGGCAAUCCAGAAGCACGAACACGUGGGGAGAGCUGCUGUUAGAAAUAUGAACAUCCUGCCAGGCAAGUAACGACUGGAGAUCACAGGGUUCAUUGCUAGGUCCACUGAUAGGACAAUUUCUUGAGAUGCUGGGCAGCAGCCACGAGUUGAAGCUCCCUAUCAUUCUCCAUCAUAGGUGAUGGAUGGGUACUCAGCCAUGUACCAUAGUACAUGACACCAGUAUUUUUGAAUAUUUUGACUUCUGUUUUAACAUACCACCAUGUCUAAAAAUUAUUCACCUGUGCAUAUACAUGAGAUAUUCACCACUUUGUUGUGAAAGUGACUGACUCUGUGUUAGAUGAUUUCAUCCAACUACAGGCUAAUUCAGAUAUUCUGAAGUUCAUCUUCCUAAGUGCCUUAAAGGUACUCUGGCUGAAGAUGUUUUCAAGCUUCGAUGGAUUAACUUGGAUUCAACCUUCGUUGACUUCACAGCUUCUGACAUCUAGCAAUUAUUCUUCAAGAUCACAGAUUUUGGCAGCCUAGUGGGAGCCAGGAUGCCACUGCCUCAACAUUGUUGACCCCACCUUAGAAGAUUCAAAGUAUACUGAACUGUGCCUGUCUUAGGCUGUCCUGUCUUCCAGGAUCUUACCCAUCAUUGACUACCAUUCCUCAAAGAGACAUCAUUCCAGAGACAUGUCACUGGAAGGGGUGAUGAGAAACAUCCUACAUGGUGGUUUCAUGGAUCUCUGCUACACAGACUUUGAUCACUUCCUUAAGGGUGCCAUGAUUGGUAUUCUCAAGAGCCAUCAGCACCUGGAGGGUCACCUUAUUUAUGGAGCUCUGCCUGGAAAUAUGCUGGACAAAACACUUAAGCAAAGUAAUUAUUAGUAUAACAGUUCCUCCCAUCAUAGCAUAAGUGGAUAUCCAGGAGGGAUCAAACAGCCUUUUAUUAUUGUCCCAUGCUUUCCCUAAAACCCUGGCAUCCAGGAAUACUCUGGCCACAUUGAGGUUGGCUAUGUUCUCCCUUAGCAGCACAGAAUAGUUAAGGAAAUUGUCUGACCCGGUACCUUCAAGAUAUUGGACCAACUGCUGUCAAGCUUCACUGCUGUUUUGUACCUGAUAAGGGGUUAGGGAGAUUGAGUGAAACUGGGUAUUGCAGACCAAUAGAGAUAUUUCCCUAACAUUGGCCAACUCAUCUGUCAGUAAGUCAAUUUGUUGUUGUAACAUGUAAAUGGCGUAAUAAAGAUAUUGACUUAG
ensembl:antisense Gm27008 predicted gene, 27008